GAUGAACGCUAGCGGCAGGCCUAACACAUGCAAGUCGAGGGGUAUAGUAGCAAUACUAGGGACCGGCGCACGGGUGCGUAACGCGUAUGCAAUCUACCUUUUACAGGGGAAUAGCCCAGAGAAAUUUGGAUUAAUGCCCCAUGGUAUAUCGAAGUUGCAUCACUAUGAUAUUAAAGUUCCAACGGUAAAAGAUGAGCAUGCGUCCCAUUAGUUAGUUGGUAAGGUAACGGCUUACCAAGACGAUGAUGGGUAGGGGUCCUGAGAGGGAGAUCCCACGCACUGGUACUGAGACAGGUACCAGACUCCGUCCGGAGGCAGCAGUGAGGAAUAUUGGACAAUGGGCGCAAGCCGGAUCCAGCCAUGCCGCGUGCAGGAAGACGGUCCUAUGGAUUGUAAACUGCUUUUGUACGGGAAGAAACACUCCUACGUGUAGGAGCUUGACGGUACCGUAAGAAUAAGGAUCGGCUAACUCCGUGCCAGCCGCCGCCGUAAAAC
rnacentral:rRNA from 1 species